rnacentral:misc_RNA from 1 species
GUACCCUCAAGCUUUGCUUGGUGUUGGGUGUUUGUCCCGCGCGUUUGCGCAGACUCGCCUUAAAUCAAUUGGCAGCCGGCAUGUUAGCCUGGAGCGCAGCACAUUUUGCGCCUCUUGCUAGCUAUUGUUGGCCCCACAUCAAGUCUAUAUAUUUGC